rnacentral:lncRNA from 1 species
CUUCAUAUAUUUCUUGUUCUUGGAGAUGGCUAUUGAAAGUCUGUGAUCUCUUCAUCGAGCACAUGGAUUAAUUGAAGUCUUGGAUAGACUAGACAAACUUUUAUCUAUUUUUCUUUUACAGUUUGGUAUUUUUGCUUUUUUACAAUUAAAAUCUGAUUGCUAUGGCUAAAGACAUGUGUUCUUGGGCUUCCGCUUUUAAUUUACUAAAACUUCAUGAUGAUAUUGCUAACACACAACCCGCACAUACAAAGACAGAGACACAGAAAGAUCUUACAUUAUAGAUAAGUGAACUGCGUGACAACAGAAGCCCUAAAGAUAGAAUUUACAAGGUUCUUUAGCAGAUCAAGAAGCUUCACUUAUGAGUAAGAAACUGGGAGAUUUAAAGCCAAGUGACUCAGAUUACUCAUACAUGAUAAUAAGUAUGUUAAGUAACUGCAUGAAACCCAAUAAGCUAAACGAAAUCGUUUCUUUGUACCAUCAUAUUAAGUUGCCUCAACGCUAGUGAUAAAACGCUCUUUCACCGCACCACCUUAAUUAUAUCGAGGCACCUCAUUGCUAGCAGUAAUAGGCUCCUCCACCAUGGUACCAUAGUAUUGAACUACCUCGUUGCUAGUGAUCACUGGCAUCCUCACCGUGGUAAUUUGAGGUCCCUGAUAUAUCAGUGUUUGCUGAUGUUGGUAUUGAUGAUGAUGAUGAGGACAAUAGCGAUGUACCUGAGUUGAGGGGAGUCUUCCAGAUCUUCGGGGCCAGCCAUGGCUAUCCUCAAUCAUAUUAAAGCCUUCCAUUCCAGUCCUUGUGAGACGAAGUAAGAAUAACACAAAGAACAAUCCACACUUUAUGGUUUGCCUUGGUAACAAAUAGGUUAUACAUGCAUUCUUAUAUAAAUGCCGAAAGCAUGUAGCUUGUAAAUUUCUUUCUACUUUUUUGGCACAAACACGCUGUUGUUAGUUUGAGAUUUGACGCAGAACUAGAAUAAAUUCUUUACAUGAAAUAUCAAGAGAAACUUCUGUAUUUUCAAGUGCAAUUAAUUAAAAACCAAAAAAAAAAAAAAACAAAACUAUUAGAAAAUAACCAGUGAAGAUGUG